GAGAACCAAGCUGCCUGAAACCUAACCUGAUCCCAAAGCAGUAGGAGGACUACAAGGAGGAGACCAAGCCUGUCCAGGCCUGGGUACAAGGUGCGCCCCCCUCCCCCUGGGGAUGGACUUCGAAAGGGAAGAGAAACCACCUAAAGAUGCUGUUCUGCCACCGCCACAGCCCCAGGGUGCUCCAGGAGAGUCAGGGCACACAGCCACCUCUUGCGUCCCUUGUGCACCCAAGGAGGAAGGGCUUUGGAGAAGUGAAGAGCCAGGCGCACGGCCACUUCAUAAGUCCUCUGCAGAGCCAAGGAGGAGGGGCUUUGGAGAAGUGACAACCUUGAGGAGUUUGCCACCACCCCUGCCCUUGCUCAGGAUCAGCCGUGCCACUUUUGUGAAGUAGCCCCCACUGGAGAACAAGUUUGCUAUGGCGAGUGGAUUCCAGCUCAUCUCCUCUGUCUGCUACUUGGAGUCUGGAAAUGACUGGUGGGUGAGCAAGCACAUUAAGAAGCCGAUUCGCUCCACAGUCUUCAGCUUGGGCUGGCACCUCAACAACAUUUGGCUGGCUGCAGGGUCAUGUGACUUCAAAUGCAGCCAGGUGUCCAUUUACGAGGUGGACCAACAGGACUGUCGCAAAUUCUGUACCACUGGCAUCAACGGGGCCAUGAUGAUCUGGGAUUUCAACGUAUGUCUCUCCAGUGGCAGUUGGCAGCGCUGGUGUGCAGCCCGGGCCAUGCAUGAACUAUCCACUGAGCCGCCCUGCCACAGUGCCUGCUAGAAGAGCUGACCCCAGAGUCCCUAAGACAAGGGGAGCACAGCCACCGGCAGGCAACCUGGAAGCCACCAUGGGUGUUAAUAUCCUGAUAGGAGCCACAGGUCAGUAGAGAGCAGUAUGUUCCUUUUGUCACAGCAAGAAAAAUGGUUAUUUUGCUGGACAAGGACUAUUUCACUAAUUCUGGAUGAAUACUGUUUUUGGUAUAUGUAUUUAUUUGUUUGUCUGUUUUUGUUGUUGUUUGUUUCUAAUCACCAGAAUUCCUUUGAUACUGCAUGUUGAGCAUUUUUGGAUAAUUGCACUUCGUGGGACCUAACAAGUUUAAACUUGUUUUUUAAAUUAUUUAAAUUAAAUAGUGUAAUCAGGAGAGCCUGAUUAAACUAUUCCCACCUAUUAUGUCCUUUUAAAAAGUAAUGGGUUUAGUUAUCACAUGCCACUUUAGAGAUUUCCUUAUGAUGUGUUUUUAUUUCCCAUACUCAAAUGUGUCAUAUUUUUAAAAUUAUAAUUAUUUGGCAGAACAUCUUUAUGAAGAAUCUCACAGUCUGGUAGAAUUUUGCUAUCUUAAAGAGAACUGUAUAAUUAAAUGUAUUAAUGAAAUUAUACACUUUGCAGAAGUCUAAAAUCAUUACUAUCACCAAAUACAAUCACCAUACAGACAGGUAAUUCUAAUUUUUAAUGGUUUGUUCAUGGUUGUUAUAUGUCCAAAGUAUACUACAUAUUUUAUUACUAAAUGUACAGAGCAUCUCCCAUGUUUCAGUUACAAUUCUUUGUGUAUCUAGGAUUAAUAUAUAAAAUUUACUGUAUACUAAUAAGCAUGUGUACUCCUCUCCUUCAAGCUUUCUGACUUCUCUGUGCAUGAAGCUUUCUGACCAUAUCUCAAUAAAGCGCAUUCAUCUUUCAAGUAUUCUAUGAUUUUUGCAUGUGUUAGACUCUAAGUUUCAGAGUUUUAAUGAUUUUGCAUGCUGCCUUUUUUUACCUGGGCCUUUAACAGGUAAAAAAAUUAGGAAUUAAUAAUCUUUGGAGAUGAAUAUAAAUUUCCCGAUAUUUUUACAUUACUGUCUUUUAAAUAUUAUUAUUAUUAUUAUUAUUAUUAUUAUUAUUAUUUAUUUCAAGUUAUUCAAAUUAUAUUGUGGCUGUGGCCCUCUCCCUCAUCUCAGAUCCCACCCUCUUUCCCUCUUCUCCCCCUGCACCCCUCCCCUAGUCCACUGUUAGGGAAGGUUGUCCUCCCCUUUUAUUUGACCCUGUACAAGUAUUCCCCCUAUUUGACCCUAUAGAAGUAUUCCUCCUAUUGUUGUGCUGAUAGCAUUAUAGUUAUCUAUCCUUCUAUCUAACAUCUAUCCUUUGUCUAUUGUCUAUAUCAUAUAUCUAUUACACAUGCAUACACACAGUUUUGAAUAUUUCUUCAAAACACAUGUGGCUCAAUUUUUUUUUAAAUCAAUGUCUCAAAGUCAAAAUUUGAAAUGCAUGCGUCACUUUGUGAGUUAUGGCCUGAGCCUUGGAAUGUUGACAUCACAGUGGUUUCUCCCCCUGACUACUACAGAAUGUUUACACUUCAGGGGUUUGUCUACAAACUGCUGUAGCCAUUUUGGUUAGUGCCAGGUAAGAAAAGGAUAAUUUUUUGCCCAGUGAAAGGUUCUCCAUUCCAGGCUCCGAUGUAAAGGUAUUUUAAAAUGCUCAUUAUGAUUUUCAUGCUAGACUAAUGGUCUCAGGAAGUGUUCUGUCUUGAGUUCUCUAGAACCUGUGACCUAAUUCUUAACAGUUUUUUUUUUCAUGAAAAGCUACUCCUGUUAGCAAUAAUCAGUACCAUUCCCCCAAAGAAACAAAGUUAUGACAGAGAGUAAUGCUUUGAGAUAUUACAAGGAAUGAUAGCCAUGUACCUUCAAAACUAUAUGCCCAAGAUAUGAGAGAUUAUUUUCUCUUCAUCUAGUUGUAUUACCCAUUGUGCCAACAAAGUUUUGUUGGAAACUGCUCAAAUUUCAGCUCCAAAUUCAACAACCUUCUAGUUUCAAACAUAUAUUUCUCAAUAUGUGAACAUUGAUUCUACUAGAUAAGAAUGACUUUCCAGACAUACUCAUUUAAUUUCAAUUUUAUAAUGAAAUUGCAUUGGCAAUAUUUUAUAAAAUACCUUUACAUUAUUGCCAGAUGCAUUUGAUGACAACCUUGGCUGAUGUCUCUCUUUGACUGUUCAAUUCACAGGGAUCUUUAAUCCUUCCCAAGUAAAAACUAUGGCUUGUCAGUACAUAUUCCUUGAAUGAAAUGAAAUGACUUAGGCAUAGUAAUAUUCACUUAAUAAAAUAUAUAUGUUAAAUAUUCCAACUGUAUGAGCAGGAACAACAGAGAAACCAUUAAAAUUGUAGCCACUCCAUUAUUACAGGGAAUAAUUUUAUUAUGGGUCAGAGAGGAAAAAUGUUUAGAGGCACCUGGAAGAGUUCAUAGCACAGAGAAAAAGAAGCAGACUUGAUAUGACCAAGACUGUCUAGAAGAGAAUGGAGAAUAUUAGGAGAAAAGUAGAGAUAGCUUAGACAGAGACAAACUAUGCUUCAUAAAUGUACAGGCUGGACUUAGGUCCACCUACACAUAUGUAACAGAUGUGCAUCUUGGUCAGCAUGUGGGACCCCUAACAAUUGAACUGAAGGCUAUCUCUGACUCUGUUGCUUGCCCUUAGUUUCCUUUCCCCUAGCUGGGCUGUCUUGCCUGUCCUUAGUGAGAGAGGAAGUCCUACCUCAUGUUAUGUGUCAGGGUGGGUUGUUACACACAGUGAGCCUCUCUGAAGAGAAAGAGGGAAUGGGGGAGGGAAGAAUGAUGGUGGGACUGUGAAGAGAGAAGGGACGGGGCCUGGGAUGAAGAUAUGAAAUUUAUAAAUAAAUUAAUUUGUGUAAAAAAAAUCAGGGUAUUUCUAGACUAUGCAGAAAAUUAGAAUAGUGCAGAAAGAGAUGAGGCUCUUUGGGAAGGCACAGGAAUCUAGACGUGUGUUUAGAGAUAUAUAACAAGUCCAUUUACUUCCCCUUCAAGGAACCUGGAGGCCACCAUGGGUGUUGAUAUCCUCAUAGGAGCUACAGGUCAAUAGAGAGCGAUUUGUCCCUUUUGUUGGAGCAAGGAAAAUGGCUAUUUUGCUGGACCAGAACUUUUGCACAAAUUCUUGAUGAAUGCUAUUUUUGUUGACCUGGAGGCCAGCAUUGGUGGCUGAUAUCCUGAUAUCACAGGUUGAGACCUGUCCCAGGAGAAUCUAUCUUUACCCACAUGGAAGCCUAUGAGGAGUUCACCAACGAUGGAGUAUACUGGACCUUGCUAUGCCAAGGCUCCAGGAAACUCAGAAGAGACAGAAUAAGGAAAAAAAAAAUACAUCUCUCCUUGUUUAAUGAUGUUUUGGUUGUGACUAAUAACCUAUGGGUAUGUCCCUCAUGCCUGCCAUAGUAUUAGAGGCUACACUUUGAUUAGGCUUUACUGUACAAAAAUAAAAUAGUUUUUUGUUCUGUUUUGCUUUAUAAUCACUUCAUUAUUUCCCUAUUUUAUUUCUUAUUACACAUCCUCCCAUGUUUCCUUACUUUGUCUCUUUUAAAAUCAUAGCUUCUUUUUUAAUUAAUAAUUGUUACACAGAUACAUAUGUGUUAAGGUACGUAUAUGUGUGUGGAUAUAUAUAUAUAUAUUCGUAACUACAUAAUCAGCUCAGUCAGUAUAAUAUUAAUUGUAUAUAUAUUUUUCAGGACUGACCAUUUGGUAUUGAUAGCCAAUUAGUCUGCUAUUCCUAUGAGAGGUAUUUCUCUUACUCUCAAAAUUGCACAGCGGCACAGACUUUUUGAAGUAGAGUUGAAGCUUAGUGGACUUUCUUCUGUACACAUUUUCACUUUGUUAUCACAAAUGUUUCAGUCAUAUUUUAAAAAAUGAAUUAUUUAAAGUGUGAUUCUGCUGUUUGAAUUGAGAAAAAAAUAGCAAAAAUCAUGAAAAGGAGAGAGAUAUCAGCAAUUAUAGUUAUUUUGAAGCUGACUUAUGAGUAUUGGAAGUUUGUGGACUACACUAAAAUUUUUCUCAAAAACUGUUUAAAAUAUGAAAGAUAAUAUCACUGGUUAUAUUGGUUGCUCAAAGGGGAUCAUAUAUGUAAGCCUCUGAACUCAUAACUUCCAAAUUAGUGUGAAGAGAUGAGAAGCAGACACUAUCCCUACACUCAUCAGGGGAACUGCUGGUACCAAGUAGGUCCUGCUUGGUGAUCCUGCAGAUGCUAAGGACUGCUGUGAUUGGAGCAUAGAGGUGUUUUUUAGGACCACAUCACAUAUAAUCUCUAGGGGCCAUGAUCAUAGCCUUCAUAUUAUUCUGAGAGAAAUAAAAUUGGUCCUGACCUCCUCAAGUACAUAUUUUAAGGAGUAUUCUUAUAAGUAUGUAAAUAGAUUUUAGGACAGACAUCAAUAAAACAGUCUCAGUUUGGGGCGUAAAUUUUCCAGUUAUUGAGUAAUAUUCCUGAAGAUCCAUUUCAUAAAUUGUGAAAAAAAUGAAAGGAGAGAGUUCUUCUAUACAUUAUAGAGACAACCAAAUGCAUACAUUUUUCUCUCAACCCUGAGAGAAAACUCAACCCUCAACAUUUUUCUCUCACUGUAAGCUCCCACCCUAGAAAAGGGUGACUUAGUGUCUGACCAGUGUAGGCCUAAACUAAGUGAAUGGCCCAGCUGUCUGUCCAUCUUUGUCAUUUCUCCUCAGCUCCAAUUUAGUCCACAAUUGGAAAUCCUAAUUUUAUUUUGAAAGAUAGUAAUCAACUCAUUUAAAAUAAAAAGAAAAUACUGAUCAUUUUCCAUCAAUGUGUUUGUGAAACUGGUGAAUUUCACUUUGACUUUUGAAGAUAAUGGAAACUAAAAAAUGUUUGAUUUUCUUAAAAGAAAAUCUAUUUUGUUCCUCUUUGAAAACUCUUUUGUUCCUCUGUGGUUGAAUUGGAAUAGUAAUUAAAAAUGUUUUGAGAUCAUCAUUUAUAUUAUAAAAAGAGGAUUAUCAAGCUUAUGGGAUGGUUAUCAUUUUUCCAUUUUCAAUGUAGAUUAUUUCUAAUGAGAAAUACUAGAAUUAGAAGUUACAGGUUUCAUGAAGCAUUACUUCCCAAUUUUGGUUCAUAUAUGUAUAUGUAUAUGUACGUAUAUAUAUUAUGUAUAUACAUAUAUGUAUAUAUACAUUCAUACAUAUAUGCAUAAAUUCACAAGUCUUGAGGGUGGAAAGCAAAUGUAAAUAUGAAUAUUUCAUAUAUUUGAGGUGUUUGUGUGUAUAUGUGUAUCCUGAAGUACAUGUUACAUGAUAUGCUUGUAUUUUCACUAUAGGAUGUUAUGUUAGAUGGGUGGGAAAUCUUUAUUUCUUCACAUUUUGGAUUUUAGAAAUAUUUACGUGUAGGAUUUUUGAAUCAGGUUUAUACUUGUGACCUAAUUUCUCCUGAAUCUGAGAGAGUCAGAGUCAUUAUCUUCAGUCCACCAGUAUCCAAUGAAGAAUUCCAAAUUCAGGUUUACAUAACAAAUGCCCCAGAAAAUUUUCAGUCUGUCAUAAAAAUAAUGCAAAAGAAUCACAAAUGUGGGAAGGAGAACUCUCAGGAGAUAGGAGAAAGUGAGAAAAAUUAAUCAGAGCACAUUACAUAUGUGUAUGAAAUUCUUAACCAACUUCAUAUAAAAAGUGUAAAGAAAGAAUGAGACUUAGGCUCCCACAUAAUUGUUUUUCAAGAACACUUUUGAUAACAUCAGAAUGCUUGAUAAGAUGCCAUUUGUAAUCAAUGGAUGAGGUUAUUGGAAAAAAGAAUCCUCUGUGUUACUUGCACAUCGUGGGUUCACUGAAGGAGCAACAGCAGUAGGCUGGCAUGACUAAGUAAAUUGUCCUUUACUUAGUACAGGGUAAAGGACAAUGGAAUGUGAAUAUUAUGUCAGACAGUAUUUCUAUAGUAUUUAUUUUGAAAAGGUUAUCACAAUUAUUUAAUAAAAAAUCUUAACCAAUUUUAAUAUGAAAUUAUGGAAAUAAAUAAUGCAAAAAAGGUUAGUAUUUAAUUAAAUGGGGGGGUUGAAAUAUUGAGAUAGCUUUUAAAAAUGCUAUGCCUUUAAAAUCCAUAGUAUACCUAUACUACAAAACACUCACUAAUCAGAAAAAGACCAGUCUACGGGUAUUUGUGACCAUCAAAAAGUGUGUACUCAGUGACUUCCUUCAACACUAACUUUGUUGUUGUCUGUGUACCAUGGCAUAAGCUGUGCCUUGAUCAUAGAGAGGUAUGAGUCCUCCUCUGCUUUGGGACAGGAAGAACUGGGUCUUACUACAAGCAAUUCCAACUAUAAUGAAAAGCAAAUUAACAAAUACUUGAUUCUCCUUCUAGGGGAAGAAAGGUUUAAAAUAAGAGUCCAUUUCACUGAGUUACUUAGGGAUAGAUGACUUUGUGGACAUAUUCAGGACAGACAGCAGCUCUGCUUGCAAGUCCAUUCACCUGUUCUGUCCCAAGAAACAUCUUGUUGCCACUUUUUUAUAAGACCUACAGCUUGGACCUGUGUUCAGAAAAAGGAUGGCUGUAGAAAUUGUGGGUCAGAAUAAUGCUAACUCACAUAGAAAAUAUAAAUCUCUUCACCAGAAUAUUUACUAAAUAAGAAUUUAUUAGUGUAAUUGUAUGCAAGCUACCAACUCAAGUUUUCCACUUCUAUGAAUACUGAGUAUGUCUGUACACACAUUUCUAUAUAUAAGUACGUUCCUUAAGAUUUUGAUCUGUGAUAUUCAUCACGACUCUACAAAAUCCUUGGGGUGAAAAUGAAGUGCAUUGUGUCAUAUGAAGAACGUGACAGGACCAGGCCUUACCUCAUUCUUCACAUUCCUCACUGAAAAAUGACCUGGUAUUUUCUGUGUUUUUAAAGUAUACAAAUUGAUCUCUCCUCAGUGAUAUUGUGUAGUAUAAUUGAUUUUGAAAAAACUACCUCCUAUACCCUCAAGUUAAUUUCCUAAAAGUUGUAUUUGAUUGUACACAUAAAAAUAAUUACCCUUAGACUGCAAAAGGUCUUAAAUGUCUGUGCAGCAGAAUAUCACUGGUGUCUAUAUUCAACAGAUGAGGACCAGUGUCAUUAUACCAUUGGAAUCACUGAUUUGUGCACUGCAGGUAAAUUUCAAAUUCACAUUCUGAUCUUUCAAGAGAAGAUGUGAUCAUGGUAUACUGAGAAUAUCUUGAAUAUGAAGGUUGGAAUCACAGGGAUUAUGUAGUGUAAACCUUCUGUUCCAUGCAAGUAUACACCAGAAUUCAUGUCUUUUCCACAUUAAAAUUUCAUCACAGGCAACCCCCUUCAUUCCUCUGUCCAUAUAUCUAGUCUCAUCACAGAGUUGACUUAAUUAACAUAAGUGCUUGCAAGUGUAUAAACUUCUGGGUUCUGUGACUUUACUCUUUACCUGGAAAAGCAUUUCCAUACACUUGAAUAAGAAGAUCAUCUUUGUGUUGUUCUCUCAAUAUUUUCUGUCAUUUUGUAAUAUAUCUGAAGAUUUUCUAUGUUAAUUUUUGGUGUUUCUCCCAUCUAGAAUAUGAGAAGAUACUGUGUCUAGGGAUAUAUGAAGUAUUUACUGACAUUUCCAUUAAACCUUUCUUUUUAUGACUGAGUGAAAUUUGGAAGUCAAAUUGACACUAAGUGCACAUUCAAUUAAAUAUGCACCAGGCAUUUUCAAUAAUGCAUAUAACCAAAUUCAUUUGAUGUUUCUAUCUAUGCCACCUUUUAAUUUGGUGAUAUUAGAUGUAUUAUCUGUUUACACAUGCAUAUUGAGGGCCACAAACAUAAUCCAUCCUUCUGAUAAGAAUGGUUUCAGGCAGAAUAUAAAGUGGGUGAGCAGUUAAUAGUGGAAACAUGAAAGGUGAGAGUCUCUUGUGAAGAAUCAGUCACAGAAUUUCAUUAUGGAUAUGCAGCUCCAUUUAUGUAUGUAGAACCAUGGCAAAAGAGAAGUGAAAUGUAUCUGAAUGUUCCUGGCAACAAGGAUCGCAAUUUUCAGAAAUUUGAAAUAACUCACAUUUUAGCUUAUGAAUGAAAAACAGUACCUGGCAUAAGUCUAUAAAAUAGUAGAAUUAAGAAGAGUGGAAUGAGUCUUUCAGAGGCCCUGUGUGGUAGGAUUCUUUCCUGUUCCCUGUUUUCUCCCUCUUCCAAUGUCUGUCCCAUUUGCAUUUGUGAAUGAGAAUUGAGCAUCUUACCCAGGGUCAUCCUUCUUACUUAGCUUCUUUAGGUAUACAGAUUUUAGUAUGUUUACCCUAUAUAUUAUGUCUAAUAUCCACUUACAAGUGAGUAUAUACUAUGUGUAUCUUUCUACUUCUGGGAUAACUUAGGAUGAUCUUUCCUAGUUUCUACUAUUUGCCUACAAAUUUCAUGAUAUCCUUGUUUUUAUUGCUGAGUAGUAGUCCAUUGUGUAAAUGUACCACAAUUUCUGUAUCCAUUCCUCAAUUGAGGAACAUCUUGGUUCUUUGGAGAUUCUGUCUAUUAUGAAUAAAGUUGCUAUGGACAUGGUUGAGCAAA